rnacentral:rRNA from 1 species
GACGAACGCUGGCGGCGUGCCUAAUACAUGCAAGUCGAGCGGACAGAAGGGUGCUUGCUCCCGGAAGUUAGCGGCGGACGGGUGAGUAACACGUGGGCAACCUACCCUGUAGAUCGGGAUAACAUCGAGAAAUCGGUGCUAAUACCGGAUAAUCAUUUGAAGUGCAUGCUUCGAAUGUAAAAGAUGGCUCCGGCUAUCACUACGGGAUGGGCCCGCGGCGCAUUAGCUAGUUGGUAAGGUAAUGGCUUACCAAGGCAACGAUGCGUAGCCGACCUGAGAGGGUGAUCGGCCACACUGGGACUGAGACACGGCCCAGACUCCUACGGGAGGCAGCAGUAGGGAAGCUUCCGCAAUGGACGAAAGUCUGACGGAGCAACGCCGCGUGAGUGAUGAAGGUUUUCGGAUCGUAAAGCUCUGUUGUUAGGGAAGAACAAGUGCCGUUUGAAUAAGGCGGCACCUUGACGGUACCUAACCAGAAAGCCACGGCUAACUACGUGCCAGCAGCCGCGGUAACAC